GAGGUUUUCCCUGCUUUUCAGAGCAGGAAAAUGUUUUGCUGCUCCAUCACUGAUGGGUUCCCCGGCCUUCCCCUGCUCACACCCCCAUCCCCAUGAAGUGUUUGCUUUAUGAUUUGGCUUCCUGCAAAUCUCAGCAUCGUCAGAAUGUCCACCCAAGCCGAACUUUCUCCAUUCUGAGUGCCCAUGUAUAGAAACAGCAAAUGAAACCUCGACUCAUGCAAUAAGCUCAGUGCCCAACCACGCCGAGCUUCCUCCAGGAAUGCACCUGCAUGUUUGUCCAUACAAACAGCACAUAACUGCCCCGUGUGAGCAGCUGAAAGUGGCCCAGGAGAGGCUCCUGCCGGCUCACGUGGAGCACACGCAGCCCCACAUCAGCAUGAGGGCACCAGAGCAAAAAUGGAUCAGGACAUCUCACGCUCCUCUUUGCCAUUCCAGUCUCUGGGGGGAUCUGAGCCAGCAAGGCAGGAUUCAGCUCGCACCAUCGCGCUCUGCUAAUGCAGCUCGUAGAGCGGAGAUCCUCCGUGUAGCCGGAGGCACUGCGAGCAGUCAGGUGUGAUGUUUGUUCAUUAGGGCUACAAAUAUCUGUCAGACUGUAAAGCCUCGAGUCUGGGAUCCUGGGAUCCUGGGAUUCUACGGUUCCGUGAUUCUAUGGUUCUGUGGUUCUAUGAUUCCAUGAUUCUACGAUUCCAUGGUUCCAUGAUUCUAUGGUUCUAUGGUUCCACGAUACUUUGGUUCUAUGGUUCUAUGGUUCCAUGAUUCUGUGGUUCUAUUGUUACAUGGUUCUAUGGUUCUACAGUUCUACGGUUCUAUCAUUCUAUGGUUCUGUGAUUCUGUGUUUCAUUGAUUCUAUAAUGCUUUGAUUCAAUGCUUCUAUGAUUCUAUGGUUCUGUGGUUCUAUGAUUCCACGGUUCUAUGGUUCUUUGAUUCUGUGAUUCUAUGACGUUUUGAUUCUAUGGUUCUAUCAUUCUAUGAUUCUAUGGUUCUAUGGUUACAUGGUUCUAUGAUUCUAUCAUUCUAUGAUUGUGUGGUUCUGUGGUUCUAUAAUUCCAUGUUUCUAUGGUUCCAUGAUUCUAUGGUUCUAUGAUGCUUUGAUUCUAUGGACCUACAAUUCUAUGGUUCUAUGGUUCUGUGGUUCUGUGGUUCUAUGACUCUAUGGUCCUACAGUUCUGUGAUUCUAUGAUGCUUUGAUUCCAUGAUGCUUUGACUCCAUGGUUCUUUGGUUCCACGAUCCUUUGAUUCCAUGAUUAUACGAUGCUCUGGUUCUGUGGUUCUGUGAUUCUGUGGUU
ensembl:lncRNA